UACGUAGGUGGCAAGCGUUGUCCGGAAUUACUGGGCGUAAAGGGCUCGUAGGUGGCCAACUAAGUCAACCGUGAAAUCCCUCGGCUUAACCGGGGAACUGCGUUUGAUACUGGAUGGCUUGAGUUUGGGAGAGGGAUGCGGAAUUCCAGGUGUAGCGGUGAAAUGCGUAGAUAUCUGGAGGAACACCGGUGGCGAAGGCGGCAUCCUGGACCAAUACUGACGCUGAGGAGCGAAAGCUAGGGGAGCAAACGGG
rnacentral:rRNA from 1 species